AGAAACGUAAUGAAGAGAAAAGUAUAGAUCUUAAAACAUUAAAGAGAGUCCGUAAUAGGUGAGAGCGGAUAUGUAGAAGGGUUUAGAAAAUGGUCUCUGAACGGGAUUGUCGAUAGGUAGACAAUGACGGGGCAGCGCUCGUUAACAACGCUCAAGUAUAUUUAGUACUUGUAAAGGCAAUAGUUGUGAGAUUAUUGUAAAUAAAGGUGGUAACGCGAGUAAGCUCGUCCUUUUC
rnacentral:ncRNA from 1 species